UGGGGAAUAUUGGGCAAUGGGCGAAAGCCUGACCCAGCGACGCCGCGUGGGGGAAGAAGUCUUUCGGGAUGUAAACCCUUGUUGUACGGGACGAAGGAAGUGACGGUACCGUACGAGGAAGCCCCGGCAAACUACGUGCCAGCAGCCGCGGUAAUACGUAGGGGGCGAGCGUUGUCCGGAAUCACUGGGCGUAAAGCGCACGUAGGCGGGCUGUCAAGUCGGCCGUGAAAGGCGCGGGCUCAACCUGUGCAUGUCGGUCGAUACUGGCGGUCUGGAGUAUGGGAGAGGGAACGGGAAUUCCCUGUGUAGCGGGGAAAUGCGUAGAUAUCGGGAGGAACACCAGUGGCGAAGGCGGGUUCCUGGCCCAUGACUGACGCUGAGGUGCGAAAGCCGGGGGAGCGAACG
rnacentral:rRNA from 1 species